rnacentral:rRNA from 1 species
UACAGAGACUGCAAGCGUUAUUCGGAUUCACUGGGCGUAAAGGGUGCGCAGGCGGCCAAGUGUGUGAGGCGUGAAAGCCCGGGGCUUAACCCCGGAAUUGCACCUCAAACUACAUGGCUAGAGCAUUGGAGAGGGUAGCAGAAUUCAUGGUGUAGCAGUGAAAUGCGUAGAUAUCAUGAGGAAUACCGGUGGCGAAGGCGGCAUCCUGGACCAACACUGACGCUGAGGAGCGAAAGCCAGGGGAGCAAACGGG